rnacentral:rRNA from 1 species
CCUACGGGCGACAGCAGUGGGGGAUAUUGCACAAUGGGGGAAACCCUGAUGCAGCGACGCCGCGUGUGGGAAGACGGUCUUCUGGAUUGUACACCACUGUCCCCAGGGACGAAAAUGACGGUACCUGGGGAGGAAGCUCCGGCUAACUACGUGCCAGCAGCCGCGGUAAUACGUAGGGAGCAAGCGUUGUCCGGAAUUACUGGGUGUAAAGGGAGCGUAGGCGGGGAUGCAAGUUGGGUGUCAAAACUACCGGCUCAACCGAUAGUCGCACUCAAAACUGCAGCUCUUGAGUGAAGUAGAGGCAGGCGGAAUUCCUAGUGUAGCGGUGAAAUGCGUAGAUAUUAGGAGGAACACCAGUGGCGAAGGCGGCCUGCUGGGCUUUUACUGACGCUGAGGCUCGAAAGUGUGGGGAGCAAACAGGAUUAGAUACCCUUGUAGUC